rnacentral:rRNA from 1 species
UACGAGGGGAGCAAGCGUUGUUCGGAUUUACUGGGCGUAAAGGGCGCGUAGGCGGCGUGACAAGUCACUUGUGAAAUCUCCGGGCUUAACCCGGAAAGGUCAAGUGAAACUGUCGUGCUAGAGUACAGAAGGGGCAACUGGAAUUCUCGGUGUAGCGGUGAAAUGCGUAGAUAUCGAGAGGAACACCUGCGGCGAAGGCGGUUCUCUGGGACGGUACUGACGCUGAGACGCGAAAGCGUGGGGAGCGAACAGG